AUACGUAGGGUGCAAGCGUUGUCCGGAAUUAUUGGGCGUAAAGCGCGCGCAGGUGGUUCCUUAAGUCUGAUGUGAAAGCCCCCGGCUCAACCGGGGAGGGUCAUUGGAAACUGGGGAACUUGAGUGCAGAAGAGGAUAGUGGAAUUCCAAGUGUAGCGGUGAAAUGCGUAGAGAUUUGGAGGAACACCAGUGGCGAAGGCGACUGUCUGGUCUGUAACUGACACUGAGGCGCGAAAGCGGGGGGAGCAAACAGGAUUAGAUACCCUGGUAGUCCACGCCGUAAACGAUGAGUGCUAAGUGUUGGGGGGUUUCCGCCCCUCAGUGCUGCAGCUAACGCAUUAAGCACUCCGCCUGGGGAGUACGGUCGCAAGACUGAAACUCAAAUGAAUUGACGGGG
rnacentral:rRNA from 1 species